AAAUCAUACUAGAGUUGGGACCAUUGUUUUCACUAACAGGGAGGAACAAUCCAAACAUUUUGAAUUAUUUAGCGUAUCCUCCAGAUGUGAAAAGUUCACCCAUUUAUAUCAAAAAUAGGGUUAGAUUUGUUUCAAUUUUACACAAUAUAAUUGUUUUUAAGGCUUCUCAUCCAUUUUUCUAUUUUUUUUAAUCUGUAGAAAAAAACAUAAGGGUGGAUUGGAGGAAGGGGCGUGGCUUGUCAUGCAUUUCCCGUCCUGCUCUGUGAUUUUGCAGGCAUACAUGCAGGAUACCCACCUCUGUUUGAUGUUAAAGCCAGCGCCCAGGUCUCUGUCUGCACAGGCAGGUGUGUGUGUGUGUGUGUGUGUGUUGAUAACAUUUUGCAGCACGACACUGUGAGUGGCCUCUGAUCUCUUGCAGCAUCGAGAAUGAAAGGAAACACUGGUGACUUUGAUGUCUAAAAGGAAUUUCUUUUCAUGUAAAAGCUGCCAAAACAACCCAGAUUAAUUAGUGAAUAUUGUCUUGAACAUGCACGCACCCUCCCCCAUUUACAACAACAAACACUGUACAGUAUAUUCUGUGUGUAUCCAUAGCAACCCCCCUACAUACGUGCUUCCCAAAUUUAAACCCAACCCCCAAAAAUUAAAAUCCUGCAGUUCCUUAAAUGGCCACCAGGGGCUGGUUUCAGGCAAUUUCCCAUAGUAAUAAAGCCUGUAUUGAUGUUUAUAUUUUUGUUUUCUGUUUAUUUCCGCUUUUUUAGUUUAUUUAUUUAUUUUUAGGGCUACUUGGUGGUACAUCGGUUUGGAUGUGACCAUCCAACAGACUGGUGACCUCUUCAGGCUAGUUUCCUGCUCUUCAGUCCACGUCUGAGAAUGUAAAAUAAGCCUGUCACCAAAUGACUACACAGCUUGAUCUGGCAGUUUUACAUAACGCUGGAACGCAGUCAGCUUUCACCGUGGCCAAGCACUAGCAGUUCCUGCUUGGCCGGCGUCCUGUCUCCGAGGCUAUUUAGCCGUGGCUGUGAAUGGAGCCGCUAGCAAACAGUGCGGAAGUGUCUCUGAUUGAGGAGAAUGGAAGGCGGCGAGCAGCCCACUUACCAGCUUGCUGCUGCCCCCACACACAGACAAAUCCUCACACGCACACAGGAAUGCAACUGUACCGAUGGAGAGAAAAAAGUCAUUUAAAAAACAUACAUUGGACCUAAAACAUUUAUAAAUACAUUGAUUAAAAUAAAAUAAAAAAA